ensembl:rRNA 5S_rRNA 5S ribosomal RNA
GCCUACAGCCAUACCACCCUGAAAGCACCCGCUCUCGUUUGAUCUCGGAAGCUAAGCAGGGACGGGUCUGGGUAGUACCUGGAUGGGAGACAGCCUGGGAAUACCAGGUGUUGUAGGCU